GACGAACGCUGGCGGCGUGCUUAACACAUGCAAGUCGAACGAUGAACCGGUUUCGGCCGGGGAUUAGUGGCGAACGGGUGAGUAACACGUGGGCAAUCUGCCCUGCACUCUGGGAUAAGCCCGGGAAACUGGGUCUAAUACCGGAUACGACACUCCGAGGCAUCUUGGGGUGUGGAAAGUUCCGGCGGUGCAGGUUGAGCCCGCGGCCUAUCAGCUUGUUGGUGGGGUAAUGGCCUACCAAGGCGACGACGGGUAGCCGGCCUGAGAGGGUGACCGGCCACACUGGGACUGAGACACGGCCCAGACUCCUACGGGAGGCAGCAGUGGGGAAUAUUGCACAAUGGGCGAAAGCCUGAUGCAGCGACGCCGCGUGAGGGAUGACGGCCUUCGGGUUGUAAACCUCUUUCAGCAGGGAAGAAGCGAAAGUGACGGUACCUGCAGAAGAAGCACCGGCUAACUACGUG
rnacentral:rRNA from 1 species